rnacentral:rRNA from 1 species
AUUGAACGCUGGCGGCAUGCUUUACACAUGCAAGUCGAACGGCAGCGCGGGCUUCGGCCUGGCGGCGAGUGGCGAACGGGUGAGUAAUACAUCGGAACGUGCCCAGUAGUGGGGGAUAGCACGGCGAAAGCCGGAUUAAUACCGCAUACGACCAGAGGGUGAAAGCGGGGGAUCUUCGGACCUCGCGCGAUUGGAGCGGCCGAUGGCAGAUUAGCUAGUUGGUGGGGUAAAGGCCUACCAAGGCGACGAUCUGUAGCUGGUCUGAGAGGACGACCAGCCACACUGGGACUGAGACACGGCCCAGACUCCUACGGGAGGCAGCAGUGGGGAAUUUUGGACAAUGGGCGAAAGCCUGAUCCAGCAAUGCCGCGUGUGUGAUGAAGGCCUUCGGGUUGUAAAGCACUUUUGGCGGGAACGAAAAGGACUGUGCCAAUACCACGGUUCGAUGACGGUACCCGCAGAAUAAGCACCGGCUAACUACGUG